GCGAGUGUGGCGGAAUGGUAGACGCGAGGGCUUCAAAAGCCCUUAGCCUUAGGUUAUGCGGGUUCAAGUCCCGCCACUCGC
rnacentral:tRNA from 1 species